UUGGAGGGCAAGUCUGGUGCCAGCAGCCGCGGUAAUUCCAGCUCCAAUAGCGUAUAUUAAAGUUGUUGCAGUUAAAAAGCUCGUAGUUGAAUUUCGGGACCAAUUUGUUGGUCGUGCCUCGGUACGUACUGGUAUUAUUGGUUUCUCCCUUCUGAAGAACCUUGAUGUCAUUAAUUUGGUGUCUUGGGGAAUCAGGACUGUUACUUUGAAAAAAUUAAAGUGGUUAAAGCAGGCAA
rnacentral:rRNA from 1 species